rnacentral:SRP_RNA from 1 species
ACACGGAUUCUGUGCGACAGGGCGCCGCGAACCAUGUCAGGCGGGGAACCGAGCAGCAUUAAGCGGAAUUUCCUGUGCGCCGCAGCCAAUCUGUGUAUC